ACGUAAAGGAGUUGCUCAGAAGGCCAGCCUCUCUCUGCUUAAGGUUAUUUCAGUGAAGGCUUGAACCAGGCAGAACAUUUUCCCUCAAGUUUUGGAAUCAUACAUCUGAAACACGUGAUGGAAACCCAGGCCCAUUAUCUGGUGAAUGGUUUUUCUGAUAAGAGAUGUAAAUGUUGGCUGAUAAAAGCUAAAUCAGAGGAAAGUUAUCUUGAAGAAAAAUGAAUAAUAACUUAACCAAAGAACUACUCUUAUAAGGUGAAUCCAGGCAAACAGAACAAGACAAAAAACAAACAGGCUGAGCACUCUCCCCUCCUUCCUUAACUGGAGCUACACAGAAGGAGUUGAGUGAUGGUAGAUAUCAGGCCCUGGUCUGCGGCUUGGAAGUUUCCUGUGAAUAAGAAAAACAUCAUCGCUUCUUGAGUCACAAGGAUGAUAGGAUGAGAAAAAGAAAGGACAAAGGCACCAGAGGAGGAACCAGACACUGGAACAUGUCGUCUGAUGUACAUCACACCAAGAAAUAAAAAAAGAAUUGGAAAGCCAAUGUCCAAUUAUUUACUAAAACAGAAUCCACUGGAGAGAAAUGCAAAGGCAGGUAAAAAGGCAAUCUCUUAACAUGAAAACUCACAACUGUAAAAUGAGAACCUAAACUAUACAGCGACAAACUCAGGAAAAAGUCUCCAGCUACUGCUGUCUCUCAGACUCUCACAGUAUGUGUAACCACUUCCUCCUCUGCACGGAAUCACCCCAGAAGAUCAACUCUACUAGAUCAUUUGAGGACAAUGAACAAAGUCUCAAGACUGAAUUCCCACAGAAAACAUUCUCAUGAAACCACCCAAUAUUCUGGUGAAGUUAAAGAAGGGCAUGUGUUCGGAGACAACCAGAAGCAGCAAUGCUCAAAACCACAAAACUCUGGAUUGCCGACUCUGCACAUCCUGGUUCCUCUAGAUACAGUUCAGUGGCACAUUCACAAAUAAACGUUUUCAAAAACUGCCCUCAGGCAGUUCUAGAGAAAUGCUUUGACUUGCCUAAUGGUAUAAUGUCAAGAAAGGAAGACGAGCACUGAUCAUUCAUACUCAUUAUUACAGUCACAGGGCACUGUCUGACUUGACAGAUACAGCCGAGCAGUUAAAAGGUUAUGGGAAUUUAAGUCCAUUAUGGUCAUACGAUUCUUAUGGACCCAGAGAUAUGAAAUUAAUCAGCCACAUGUGUAGGGACAAAGUUUGUCAUAAAUAGAUAUAAGUUAUCUGCAUGCUAAGAACUUAGUUACUUAACUCUGUUUCCUCAUGUUAAUAUAAACAUAAUUAUAGAAUGCAAAUGAAAUACUUAGCCUGGAGCCUAUUAUAUAGGAAGCACUCAAUAAUUUCAAACUAUUGAGUAUAUUAUUAGAUAGGCUCCAUAAUUAUUUAUUCCUUUUUCAACAGACAGUAUGAUCUAUUGAAAAUAAAGCCAAACUAGAUUUCUUUGACCCACUCCUUUUUCUGUUUGUAUUGUUGGCAAGUUGUUCUAAAUCAACUUGCCAACAUACUAUUAACAUGUUAUUAACAUAGAAGGGAUGCUUAUUUUGUUUGCUUUGUAAGAAAUGCUUCUGAUUCAGUAACUGGGCAAUUUAUUUAAAUAUAAGUAAAAAGCAGAUUUUAUUAAAAACUACUUUGUGCUAUCAUAAAUAACUCAUUGUUCUCUGUGAUUCAGAAGUGGAUUUAUUAUUCUUUUGGGGUUGGGGAAGGCACUGAGACUGGUUUCAGCACUGAUAUUUUGCUUUGGUCCACAGACAGUCCAAGUCUAAUGAGUUACUAAAGGAAAAUGACAUUUUACUGAACUGUUUUCUUCAUAAAUAUAACAGAAUGUAGGAAAAAUCAACAGUAAAACAGAUGUACCUAAAAUAUUAUUAUUCCUCAUGUAAGAAAACCAUCUUGAAA
rnacentral:lncRNA from 1 species